GUGAUUAUGCUUCGCAGGAUUUCUGUAUAGUAUAUAUCUCACUUUUGCUAGUCUACACUAGCCACACUAUCCACGUCGAGGUGAUGAUCGAGUCCCCGCCCCGCUCUUUCACAGAGACUUUUGGUCGUUCCUCCUUGUUGGGGAACAACCAUCGAAGAAGCUGGCGGUUGUUGAUUGGAUCUCUCUUCGGGGAGUGAAGGUCAACCCGUGGGCGGCGGCGGGCUUUCUGAUCGAC
rnacentral:snoRNA from 1 species